CCCAUCCGCUGCGUUCUCUGCUACAAACAACGAGUUGCUCCUGUUGUCACGACAGUCGAGCGUUCGUCCUUCUCUUGCAGAUGAGAAAUUCGGAGUAAUCUUCAAACUUUCACCUCUGCCUUGGAUCGUCGUCGAUCCACUGCACAAGGUACUGCUCGCGAGGGCCCGGCACGAUUCCGUGCUCGCGACUGGCAUCAGAAAUUUACAGGGCCUCGAGACCGGCACUCUCGCAGUGUUCGUGUCUCGAGGGACUCCCUAUGGAAGAGCCGCCGCGAAGAUUGUUUGGGCGCAAAAGCGUCCCUCAACUUUAGUGCAAUCGCAGCGGAAAUCUACCAUUUCGACAUUUGAGAUGGCUUGGUUUCAAUUCGAUUCCGAUUACUCUGGG
rnacentral:RNase_P_RNA from 2 species